GGAUUGUGGCUCAAGGGUAGAACACUUGCCUAGCACAUGUGAGGCUCUGGGUUCGAUCCCCAGCACCA
rnacentral:tRNA from 1 species